AUUGAACGCUGGCGGCAUGCCUUACACAUGCAAGUCGAACGGCAGCGGGGGAGAAGCUUGCUUUUCCUGCCGGCGAGUGGCGAACGGGUGAGUAAUACAUCGGAACGUGCCCUGUAGUGGGGGAUAACUAGUCGAAAGAUUAGCUAAUACCGCAUACGACCUGGGGGUGAAAGUGGGGGACCGCAAGGCCUCAUGCUAUAGGAGCGGCCGAUGUCUGAUUAGCUAGUUGGUGGGGUAAAGGCCUACCAAGGUGACGAUCAGUAGCUGGUCUGGGAGGACGAUCAGCCACACUGGGACUGAGACACGGCCCAGACUCCUACGGGAGGCAGCAGUGGGGAAUUUUGGACAAUGGGCGAAAGCCUGAUCCAGCAAUGCCGCGUGUGUGAAGAAGGCCUUCGGGUUGUAAAGCACUUUUGUCCGGAAAGAAAUGGCUCUGGUUAAUACCUGGGGUCGAUGACGGUACCGGAAGAAUAAGGACCGGCUAACUACGUGCCAGCCGCCGCGGUAA
rnacentral:rRNA from 1 species